rnacentral:rRNA from 1 species
UACGUAGGGUGCGAGCGUUAAUCGGAAUUACUGGGCGUAAAGGGUGCGCAGGCGGUUGAUUAAGUCAGAUGUGAAAUACCUGGGCUUAACCUGGGAAUGGCAUUUGAGACUGGUCGGCUAGAGUGUGUCAGAGGGGGGUAGAAUUCCACGUGUAGCAGUGAAAUGCGUAGAUAUUGCUCGGAAGGCCAGAGCCGAAGGGGCCCCAUUGGUACGUAACUGACGCUGAGGCACGAAAGCGUGGGGAGCAAACAGG